AGGAAUUGGCGGGGGAGCACCGCAACGGGAGGAGCGUGCGGUUUAAUUGGAUUCAACACCGGAAAACUCACCAAGGGCGACUGUUACAUGAAGGCCAGGCCGACGACCUUGCCGGAUUUUCAGAGAGGUGGUGCAUGGCCGUCGUCAGUUCGUACCGUAAGGCGUUCUCUUAAGUGAGAUAACGAACGAGACCCUCACCGAUAAUUGCUACUUCUUCCUCCGGGGAGGAGGCACAUUAUCGGGACCGCUGGCGCUAAGCCAGAGGAAGGAGAGGUCAACGGUAGGUCAGUAUGCCCCGAAUCUCUUGGGCUACACGCGCGCUACAAAGGGCGGGACAAUGGGCUCCGACGCCGAGAGGCGGAGGCAAUCCCGAAACCCGUCCGUAGUUCGGAUUGAGGGCUGUAACCCGCCCUCAUGAAGCUGGAUUCCGUAGUAAUCGCGAAUCAACAACUCGCGGUGAAUACGCCCCUGCUCCUUGCACACACCGC
rnacentral:rRNA from 1 species